rnacentral:rRNA from 1 species
CAGCCGCCGCGGUAAUACAGAGGGUGCAAGCGUUAAUCGGAAUUACUGGGCGUAAAGCGUGCGUAGGCGGCUUCUUAAGUCGGAUGUGAAAUCCCUGAGCUUAACUUAGGAAUUGCAUUCGAUACUGGGAAGCUAGAGUAUGGGAGAGGAUGGUAGAAUUCCAGGUGUAGCGGUGAAAUGCGUAGAGAUCUGGAGGAAUACCGAUGGCGAAGGCAGCCAUCUGGCCUAAUACUGACGCUGAGGUACGAAAGCAUGGGGAGCAAACAGGAUUAGAUACCCCGGUAGUCCCUGUCUCUUAUAC